GUAGGGUGGCAAGCGUUGUCCGGAAUUAUUGGGCGUAAAGCGCGCGCAGGCGGUCCUUUAAGUCUGAUGUGAAAGCCCACGGCUCAACCGUGGAGGGUCAUUGGAAACUGGGGGACUUGAGUACAGAAGAGGAAAGCGGAAUUCCAAGUGUAGCGGUGAAAUGCGUAGAGAUUUGGAGGAACACCAGUGGCGAAGGCGGCUUUCUGGUCUGUAACUGACGCUGAGGCGCGAAAGCGUGGGGAGCAAACAGGAUUAGAUACCCUGGUAGUCCACGCCGUAAACGAUGGGUGCUAAGUGUUAGGGGGUUUCCGCCCCUUAGUGCUGCAGCUAACGCGUUAAGCACUCCGCCUGGGGAGUACGGCCGCAAAGGCUG
rnacentral:rRNA from 1 species